GCCUUUGUGGUGUAACGGUAGCAAGCUCGGCGCGUAUUCGAGAGGUCCAGGUUCGAGUCCCGGUCAGGGCA
rnacentral:tRNA from 1 species